UACAAAAAUAAGGCAGUUUUUUAUAAAGUUUGAACAUAAGGUAGAUAUUCCUAUCUUUCUCCACAAGUUUUAGAAUGAAUUUAUAUCGAUGUCUUAGUGACAAAAUAGAAUUCUAUAUUAGUUACACUGUGGACAACUAAGAAACUUCAAAUAAAUUAAUCUCAUUACAAAAUCAACAACCAUAUAAUGGACUUAAUUCAGAAAAACUUUUAAAAAACCCACUAACCAAAUAAAAAAAAUAUGACUAUACCCAAUGCCCUAAAUCAAAUUAUCCACAAAAAAAAAAAAAAAAAAG